rnacentral:rRNA from 1 species
UACGGAGGGUGCAAGCGUUAUCCGGAUUCACUGGGUUUAAAGGGUGCGUAGGUGGGCAGGUAAGUCAGUGGUGAAAUCUCCGGGCUUAACUCGGAAACUGCCAUUGAUACUAUCUGUCUUGAAUACCGUGGAGGUUAGCGGAAUAUGUCAUGUAGCGGUGAAAUGCGUAGAUAUCUGGAGGAAUACCGGUGGCGAAGGCGGCAUCCUGGACCAUUACUGACGCUGAUGAGCGAAAGCUAGGGGAGCAAACGGG